rnacentral:rRNA from 1 species
GACAGAGGGUGCAAACGUUGUUCGGAUUUACUGGGCGUAAAGCGCGUGUAGGCGGCUUUGCAAGUCGGAUGUGAAAUCCCACGGCUCAACCGUGGAAGUGCAUCCGAAACUGCAUCGCUGGAGUCUCGGAGAGGAAGGUGGAAUGCUUGGUGUAGAGGUGAAACUCGUAGAUAUCAAGCAGAACACCUGCGGCGAAGGCGGCCUUCUGGACGAUGACUGACGCUGAGGCGCGAAAGCGUGGGGAGCAAACGGG